rnacentral:lncRNA from 1 species
GGGCCACUUCUUGCGCGCUGCCAGAAGGAGCUAUUUUGAGCAGGUCUGUGGCGGAAGUGGGUGUUCCCGGGUCUCUGCUGCCCAGCUGUGCCCGCUGCCGUCUUGGGGUCCCGGGGUGCGCGGGUUGGGCUGGGUGAGCUCAGAGGCACCUUGUCGGCAGCCGAGCCUGAAGAGGCGACCUCGAAACGCCUCGUGAGACCUUUCGCGGGCACACGCCCUUCGCGUUCCUCCGCUUCCUCCCACGUUUCUUCAGCCCCUGGCGGGGCGCUGGGGUGCCCGGUAGUUAAGGGUGGGGUGGCAGCGAGCGUUUCUGUGCACCCGCAGCGUGCCACGCCCGUGCUAAGCACUUUGCCUAUAGAGCCAGUGGCUUAAUUCUGCAAUAGCACAGUGAAGAACUUCGCCUCAUUUUACAGACGUGGAAACAGGCUCAUCAAGUGCUCUGUAAUUGUAAAACCUGGGAUAACAAAGGAGCAAAACGCAAUUUAGAGAAUCUAUUUGCUGAUCUCCAGUCUAGAGUGUUACUGAUGGGUUUCUGACACAGAAAUAUCUGGCUGAGAUGGUCCAACAUACCGGGAAACUCAUUCUCUCCUAUGAGAAAGUCAUAUUCUCUGAUAGCAUCUUUGGUCACCUGAAACCUAGUGUCCAUUGAAGGCACAGCUCUGGGAACUGCAAAACUGUUCUGUGGAGUGUUAUGGAGAGUAAAGCCAGGCAGACCAGCUGCUUCUGAGGGCUGUGGAUAAAAUAGAGAAUGAUACACUUACAUCCUCUACCUUUUGUUUCCAGGCACAGAUCAUUUCAGGUGCCUUCUGUGCAGAAAUAGCUGAAUAAACUUGGAGCUUGGUCUCUUUGUUGUUGAAUUUACAAUGUUAUUUGAAUGUAAGACCUUGUAGAUAUGACAUUUGAAAGUUAGGGCUCUGGAAUGGCACUGCCUGGCUUCAGAUCCUUCAUUUUUUUGCUAAAUGACAACAAACAAGAGGCUUAGGCUCUGUGCCUCCGUUUCAUCAUAGUCAAUUCUGGUAUUUGCAGUAGUUAUGUUGAAUAAAGUCACCCAGUACACGGACUUAGCAAAUACUGCUCCUUGGAAACCACAGCUCCUAGGGAAGAUACAGGGUUAGGUUCCUGUGAACCUCUGAUCACAACAUUUUUAUCAACAGAUCAAUAUACAUAACUUUGUUUUUGUGUGUGUGUUUCUAUUAAAGAUGCUUUAUUUAGGCCAGACACAGUGGCUCAUGCCUAUAAUCCCAGCACUUCGGGAGGCCGAGGCAGAUGGAUCACCUGAGGUCAGGAGUUCAAGACCAGCCUGGCCAACAUGGUGGAACCCUAUCUCCACUAAAAUCACAAAAAUUAGCCAAGUGUGGUGGCCCAUGCCUAUAGUCCCAGCUACUGGGGAGGCUGAGGCAGGAGAAUCACUUGAACCCGGGAGGUGGAGGCUACGGUGAGCCAAGAUCACGCCAUUGUACUCCAGCCUGGGCAACAGAGCGAGACUUCAUCUCAAACAAAACAAAACAGAAACAAACAAAAAGAAGCCUUAUUUAAUGUCUAUUAUUGACUCAUUAAUUAACAUUGAAAAUGAGAUGGGAAUAAUAUAGGGUGGUCACAGGAGAAUUAAAUUCCAGGCAGCAGUUUUACAUAACUAGAGACUAUCGUCUUCUAAGACCCUGAAAAGCCAAGGUAUGAACCAAGCUGGCUAAGACCAACUGGACCCAACAUGGUGCUGGGCUUGACCCAGGCUUCCCCUAGGACCUCAUUAUGUGCUCAUUAACAUACUAAACACACAACCACCAGUACCAUGACAAUUUCAGGAACACUCAGAUUUGGCGCAUAAAUGGGUGACACCACCGCUCCAAGAAAUCUCUACCUUUUCCCAGGAAUUUUCAUGAAUAUUCCACCUCUUGGUUGAAGAAACCCAUAAAGGUAGAAACCCCGAACCAUUGCUCGACUUUCUCUUGAGUAGGCCUGCAUUCCUCUUUCUUGAGUAUGUAAUUUUCACCUGGUAAUAAGUCUUUGUACUUUCACUAUUUUCUGACUCAUCCUUGAAUUCCUUUUCGUAAUGACGUCAAGAGCCCGGGGUCAAGGUCCCACCUGCGUUUGGGCACCUCCCCAGCCCACUGGUAUCAAACCCACAGACAAUGGCAUGUAACUCAUGCCUGAAUGAAGUACAUCUAACAUGUAUUUUCUCCCUAAGACACACCUUUUGCACUGAGGAACACUAGAUAACACUUCAACCCUACGUGUGGGGGCCAUUUAAAAAUGCAAAACCGCCACCCAAAAAAAAGCAAAAAAUGACAAAAAUGUGGCGCUAAACAGACCAAGAAAAGGACAGUUGUUGGCAGUAGGUGAGCAGAAAUGAGGGCAGAGAGAGAGUGCUUGCUGGGUCUCAGCCAGGGACUCCAACACGCGGCGACUCGGAUUUUCCCCACUCCAGGCACAUGGCAUGUACAGGCUCAUGGCCUCAGAAACGCUGCAAGUAUUGAUUUGUGGGGGGAGGGGGGGAGGUUACACAUAAAUUUUUUACCUACUAAGUGAAUUUGCAAAUGUGGAAUCUAUGAAUCAUGAGAAUCAACUGUAUGCUAAAACAGAGGAGUAAUAGGACCUGCCUCAUCAGAUGGCUAUGGGAAUUCAAUGAUAUAUGAGUGCAUGUAAAUUGCUUAUAAUGGGGCAUUACACAGAGAGGACUGAGUAUUAGCCACUUUUUUUGUGUGUUUUUUUGUUUGUUUUUGUUUUGCUUUUGAGAUGGAGUCUUGUCCUGUUGCCCAGGCUGGUGUGCAGUGGCGCGAUCUUGGCUCACUGCAACCUCCACCCCCUGAGUUCAAGCGAUUCUCUUGCCUCAGCCUCCCUAGUAGCUGGGAUUACAGGCGUGUGCUACCACACCCAGCUAAUUUUUGUAUUUUUAGUAGAGACGGGGUUUCGCCAUGUUGGCCAAGCUGGUCUCAAACUCCUGACCUCAGGUGAUCUGCCUGCCUUGGCCUCCCAAAGUGCUGGGAUUACAGGCGUGAGCCACCACCCCUGGGCCCGUUGUUACUAUUAUUGAUUACAAAAGAGCAGGACUCUGGUAUUUGGAAGAGGAUUCUCUAGAGUUUGGAACAACUUGAAGUCCCUGAGUCCCAAACCAUUCCGAACCCCUCCACGGUGCCACCUUCGUCACACCAGGCAGAAGCCCUUCCCUUGUCACCGGAAACUCCCUCUGGAAGGAGCUGUUCUCUGUCAUUAAAGGGAGUUCCCUUUCAGGAGGAAGCCAAUACUCCCCUUCAUGCUCCACCCUUUAUUGUCAUUAUUUGAAAAUAGAAGGUUUAUUUUUAUGUUCUGAACACAAAACUAAGAAUAUUACAAUUAUGAGAAUUUUGAGAAUAAAAGUGAAUAAUUGAUGGGGAUAGGAGUAAAAUUAAAUAUGCAUUAUUGGUCUGAGCCUCCUGACAUGUCUCUUAUAAUGUUCAGAAGUAUUAAUUUGGUUUUCGGGUAUUCACCAUGGAUGGCCAGGGGAAAAUUCUUAAGGCUACUACGGACUUACUCUGAGUUUUUUUAUUUCAAUUUUUUUAAAGCAUAUUAAUUUCAAUAAAUUGUUACUUAAUUUAGUUCACAUGUAUUUGAUAUGGUUUAAAUAAUUUUUAUUGAGGAUUAGUAUACGUCCAGAAAAGUGCACAUAAACGUUUACAGCUUGAUGAAUUUUCACAAACUGAACCACCCUGUGGAAUGAACACUCAGUAACAGUGGCACCAGCGUCCUGGGGGCUCCCUUCAACCCCCCUUCCAGGCCCAAAAUGAAAAUGCCAAGUAUCUGUGAAGACUCAGAGCAACCUGAACUCCCAUAGAGUUGCUGGUGGGAAUGGAAAAUGGUACAACCACUUUGGAAAACAGUUUGGCAGUUAAACAUACACAUACGUGACCCAGCAGUCCCACUCGUAGGUAUUUACUCUAGGGAAAUGAAAACAUACAUCCACACAAAUAUCUGUAGGAAGUGUUUAUAGCAGCUGUAUUUGUAAUUGCCAAAACUGGUAAAGGAAAAGCUUGUUCUACUCACAACACGUCUGACAUCCAUGUGUAGGUUUUCUUUUCUUUUCUUUUUUUUUCAAGACAGGAUCUUUCUCUUAUCACCCAGGCUGGACUGUGGUGGCACAAUUAUGGCUCAUUGCAGCCUUGAUCUCCAAGGCUCACACCGUCCUCCAACCUCAGCCUCCCAAGUAGCUGGGACUAUGGGUGUGCACUAUCCUCAGAUAAUUUUUUUUUUUUAAUUUUUGUUAGAGACAGGGGUGUCACUACAUUGCCCAUGCUGGUCUCGAACUCCUGGCCUUAAGCAAUCUUCCCUCCUCGGCCUCCCAAAGUGCUAGGAUUACAGGUGUGGGCCACUGUGCCCAGCCCAACAUGUGGGUUUUCCACACCAAGCAAUUCUCUGCAGACGCCAACUGGGUAUCCUACAAUUUAAUUCAAUUUUGACACUAACUCUGUGGAGUUAGCACAGACCCCAUAGGUUAAGAGCUCAGUCCCAGAAGACUGCCCCUGCUUCAGGCAUCAACCCCAGGUAGUGGGUCCCCAGGUUACCACACUGGCUACAAAUCAGAGGGGCCCACGAGCUCCUCCUUAGUUUUGUCAUUUGCUAGAGCUCACAGAGCUCAGGGAAACACCUUACUUCCAGUUGCCGAUUUAUUAUAAAGGAUACAAAUGAACAGCAGAUGAAGAGAAGCAUAGGGCAAGGUCUGGAAGGGUCCCAAACCCAAGAGCUUUUGUUCCCGUGGAGCUGGGGGUGCACCACGCUCCUGGCACAUGUAUGUGUUCAUGAACCACAAAGUUCUCUGUACCCUGGCCUUUAUAAUUUUUUUUUUUUUUUUCGAGAUGGAGUUCUGCUGUUCUUGCCCAGGCUGGAGUGCAACAGCGUGAUCUCAGCUCACUGCAACCUCCACCUCCCGGGUUCAAGUGAUCCUGCUGCCUCAGCCUCCCGAGUAGCUGGGAUUAUAGGCAUAUGCCACCACACUUGGCUAAUUUUUGUAUUUUUAGUAGAGACGGGGUUUCUCCAUGUUGGUCAGGCUGGUCUCAAACUCCCCACCUCAGGUGAUUCACCCGCCUUGGCCUCCCAAAGUGCUGGGAUUACGGGCAUGAGCCACUUCGCCUGGCCCAGGCCUUUAGACUUUUAUGGAGGUUUUAUUAUAUCGGUGUGAUCGAUUAAGUAAUUGGCCAUUGGUCAUUAGCUCAAUCUCAGCCUCUCUUCCCUCCAAAGAAGUGGGAAGGUGGAGUGGGGCUGAAAGUUCCAAUCUUGUAAUCAUGCCUUGGUCUUUGUGGUGACCAGACCCCUCCUAAGCUAUAUAGGGGUCCCCAGCCAUGCCAGUUGUCUCAUUAGCAUAGAAAAAGACACCAUGAUCACUCCUGAGACUCCAAGAGCUUUAGAAGCUGUGUGCCAGGAACAGGGGCAGAGACCACUUAUAUAUUUCUUUUUAUGUCACAACUGGAAACACCCAAAUGCCAAUCAAUGGGUGAAUGAAUGGAUAUACAAAUUGUGGUACGCCUUUAAAAUGGACACUACCCAGCCAUAAAAAGUCACGAAUUACCGGCCAGGCACGGUGGCUCACGCCUGUAAUCCCAGCACUUUGGGAGGCCGAGGCAGAUGGAUCACAUGAGGUCAGGAGUUCGAGACAAGCCUGGCAAAUAUAGUGAAAAACUGUCUCUACUAAAAGUACAAAAAUUAGCCAGCAUGGUGGUAUGCACCUGUAGUCCCAGCUACUCGGGAGGAUGACUUAGGAGAAUCGCUUGAAUCUGGGGGGCGGGGGUUGCAGGGAGCCGAGAUGGUGCCACUGCACUCCAGCCUGGGCAACAGAACGAGACUGUUUCAAAAAAAAAAAAAAAAAGUUACCAAUUACCGAUAUAUGCAACACCACCGAUGAAUCUCAAAAGCCAUUAUGCUAAGAGAAAGAGACCAGCUGUAAGAGAUGACAUACAGUAGGAUUCCAUUUAUAUGACAUUCAUGAAAACAAAAAAGUAUAGAGACAGAAAACAGUAGCUGCCAGGGAUGGGAGUGGGAAGACAGGAAAUGACUUAGCGUUGCCAGAGAAAAUACAGGUCGCCCAGGUAAACUUACUAAAUCUGGCAACCCUAGAUUGUCUACAGAGGGGGAUAAAGGAAGUUUUGGGGAUGAUGGAAAUAUUCUAUAUUUUGAUUGUGGUGAUGGUUACUUGCCUGUGUGCAUUUGUCAUGGAGUCAUGGAGAUGUAAAUUUUACUACAUCUAAAUUAUACCUCAAUAAAUGUAGCUAAAAACAAAACAGCUGUAAAGAAAGGUAAAAGUCAAAAAUGGAAAAAUGGAUUAUGGAUUAUGAUGGUAGUUAAUGUGUGUGUGUGUGUGUGCGUGCGCGCACGUAGAAUUGAACACUUAAAAUAGGUGCAUUUUAUUCUAUGUUAAUUAUACCCCCAAUAAAGUUGAUUCUUUUUUUUUUUUUUUUGAGGCGGAAUUUUGCUCUGGUGGCCCAGGCUGGAGUGCAGUGGUGCGAUCUUGGCUCACUGCAACCUCUGCCUCCCAGAUUCAAGCAAUUCUCCUGCCUCAGCCUCCCAAGUCGCUGGGAUUACAGGUGCCUGCCACCAUGCCCAGGUAAAUUUUUUUUUUUUUUUUGAGACGGAGUCUCUCUCUGUCACCCAGGCUGGAAUGCAGUGGCAUGAUCUCGGCUCACUGCAAGCUCCGCCUCCCGGGUUCACGCCAUUCUCCUGCCUCAGCCUCCCGUGUAGCUGGGGCUACAGGCGCCUGCCACCACGCCCGGCUAAUUUUUUGUAUUUUUAGUAGAGACGGGGUUUCACUGUGUUAGCCAGGAUGGUCUCGAUCUGGGGACCUCGUGAUCCACCCACCUUGGCCUCCCAAAGUGCUGGGAUUACAGGCGUGAGGCGUGAGCCACCACACCCGGCCAUGCCCAG